GGGGGUGUGGCUCAGAGGUAGCGCAUUUGCCUAACAUGUACAAGGCCCUGGGUUCAAUCCCCAGCACUGCCA
rfam:Ictidomys tridecemlineatus contig057424, whole genome shotgun sequence.